rnacentral:pre_miRNA from 1 species
AGGAAGAACAACAACAGUGGCUGGCGCCAGCCCUGGAAACCUGGAUUCAGCUCCUGCAGUAACUAUGGAGCUCUGAGUCUGCAGGGGCCUGGAUGUUCCGGGGGCGG